GGGUGGGGGGCUUCUUUAUGAAGUUUCCUUAAACUGAUUUGAAGAAGAUCAUCUAAAAUGCUAUGAUUUUUUGAACCUAUAAUAGUUUGGACCUCUUCCCAGAAUGAAUAAGGGGCACUUGCUUUCACCCUAGGUGUUCCUGAGGUAGGGUGUGAGGAAUAUGUGAGUAUCACUAAAUAAGAAGGAUUCCCCUUCAGAGAGCAAGUUCUAUAAAGAGGCAGGGAGUGUGGUACUAAGUUUAAACCUUAGUUUCACUGCUUACAAGAUAAGUGACCGGGGAAUAGGUCACUUAACCUUAUGGAAUUUGUUUCUUCGUUUAUAGCAUGAGGAUAAUGAUACAACUGAGGCCAGGUGUGAAGUGCUGAUGAAGUGCUGAUGAAGGGAAGUCACUUCCCUCUGCUUGGAAGGGUCUUUUCCGUUUUCCCUCCCAAUGCCUUUUUGCUUGGCUAAUUCCUACUACUUACUCAGGACUCGUGUUCUGUCUCCUAUAUGCUGAUGACUGAUGUUGACUCUGACCACACCCUUUCUGCAACAAGACCCACGACCAACCCCAUAUCCCCACGUGCCUUUCUGGUAGCACUUCUCCCUCCUGCUCUGCAUGGUGGGUCACCGUCUGUCCGUUCCUCUGUUCAGGCAGAAGCUCCUGGAGGGGGAGGACCGCCUUUCAUCUCUGCCUCCUACCCCCUACCACCCACCACCGGCCUACAGUUGGAUACAGAGCGCAUUCUAGAGGCAGUGAUGAAUUACUGCCAUGGGGUGGGCGAAAGGCCUGCAGACCCUCUUCAAGCCUCUUUCCUGUGGCAGAACCAGCAAAAGAAGAAGAGCUUGGGGAGUGGGAGCAGGUGGUGCUGUGGACUGACUUUCCCCUGACUCAUUUCCUGUUUCAUGAUGCCUACCGUGCAGUAUUGCUGGGAUAUGUCAGCUGAGGAGCUAUCUUAUUGGAAAGACCGUUGUCCCCACUUGCCUUUAUGCAAUGAAGAAUUAACUCUUCAGCUACAGCCAUCUGCCUUAUAUAACGUAUUUUAUAACACAGAAGGAGAAUUUUAAUAAGACCUCCAACGGGUCCGCUGCCAUUUUAGAGGGAAGGUCGCCUGCAAAGGAAGUACAUGGAAACUCUCAAGAGAAAGCUGUUGAAAACACCCCCAGUGAGAGAAACGGGUGUCAUCCCAUUUUAUUGUCUUCCUGUCACCACAGCCCUUACAUGAUUCUGACAGGCUGCUCUUUUCUCUUGUAGCCAGUGCUGCUUAAUGUCAUUUUCUUGGUUGAACAUCUUUAUUUCUGACUUGUUACAAACCAUUAACUAGUUUCCAGGUUUCAGUGUCCUGGAUACUUUUGACUAGUAAGUCAUUUGGCAUAACAAGGUUUCCCUUUAUCUUCUUGUGAAAGAAAAUCUCUACAUGAAAUGAUCAAUGUUCCAAUUUUUAUGAAUCCUAGCAGUUAGGAAGUGCCUGUCAUCGGAUGCAAGGCAUCUUUUCUGAAAGCAUAUUCUGCUUCAUAUAAUGGAACUUGACAGACAUACUAGGUAACCAUUACACUGAAGAAAACUUCAAACAAUUUAGGGGAAAAGCAGAGAAUUUUACAAAUAUACUUAACUUGUGAUGGUUUCAAAUAAACAUAACAAUACUGUUUUUAAUUAGAUUUUGUGGAUGAAAUGUUUUCACACAUAAAAUCCUUUGGAUAUAUUUAAAAAAAACAUUCAGUAGUUUAACAGUUGUCAAUCUCCAUAAACACACUUUAAACGUGUUCAUUACAUGUAACAUUGCUAAAAUGAAGACUGGCUGCUUUGGGUGUUGAUCUUAAAAAUAAUACAGACAGACAUGUGGCUGGAUGACAUACUGCUAAAACACGAAGAACAACUUAGAC